UUACAGCAGGGUGCAGGUGUUCCCUGACCCAUUACAGCAGGGUGUUCCCUGGACCCAUUACAGCAGGGUGCAGGUGUUCCCUGGACCCAUUACAGCAGGGUGCAGGUGUUCCCUGGACCCAUUACAGCAGGGUGCAGGUGUUCCCUGGACCCAUUACAGCAGGGUGCAGGUGUUCCCUGGACCCAUUACAGCAGGGUGCAGGUGUUCCCUGGACCCAUUACAGCAGGGUGCAGGUGUUCCCUGGACCCAUUACAGCAGGGUGCGGGUGUUCCCUGGACCCAUUACAGCAGGGUGUUCCCUGACCCAUUACAGC